UACGUAGGGUGCAAGCGUUAAUCGGAAUACUGGGCGUAAAGCGUGCGCAGGCGGUGAUGUAAGACAGGUGUGAAAUCCCCGGGCUUAACCUGGGAACUGCAUUUGUGACUGCAUCGCUGGAGUGCGGCAGAGGGGAUGGAAUUCCGCGUGUAGCAGUGAAAUGCGUAGAUAUGCGGAGGAACACCGGUGGCGAAGGCGGCCGAAGCUA
rnacentral:rRNA from 1 species